CGGACGGUAUAUGAGUCAAUAUU
rnacentral:miRNA from 1 species